rnacentral:rRNA from 1 species
GGCUUGCGGCAGCUACACAUGCAGUCGAGCGGUAACAGAGAGUUGCUUGCUACUUUGCUGACGAGCGGCGGACGGGUGAGUAAUGCUUGGGAACAUGCCUUGAGGUGGGGGACAACAGUUGGAAACGACUGCUAAUACCGCAUAAUGUCUACGGACCAAAGGGGGCUUCGGCUCUCGCCUUUAGAUUGGCCCAAGUGGGAUUAGCUAGUUGGUGAGGUAAUGGCUCACCAAGGCGACGAUCCCUAGCUGGUUUGAGAGGAUGAUCAGCCACACUGGGACUGAGACACGGCCCAGACUCCUACGGGAGGCAGCAGUGGGGAAUAUUGCACAAUGGGCGCAAGCCUGAUGCAGCCAUGCCGCGUGUGUGAAGAAGGCCUUCGGGUUGUAAAGCACUUUCAGUCAGGAGGAAAGGUUAGUAGUUAAUACCUGCUAGCUGUGACGUUACUGACAGAAGAAGCACCGGCUAACUCCGUGCCAGCAGCCGCGGUAAUACGGAGGGUGCGAGCGUUAAUCGGAAUUACUGGGCGUAAAGCGUACGCAGGCGGUUUGUUAAGCGAGAUGUGAAAGCCCUGGGCUCAACCUGGGAACUGCAUUUCGAACUGGCAAACUAGAGUGUGAUAGAGGGUGGUAGAAUUUCAGGUGUAGCGGUGAAAUGCGUAGAGAUCUGAAGGAAUACCGAUGGCGAAGGCAGCCACCUGGGUCAACACUGACGCUCAUGUACGAAAGCGUGGGGAGCAAACGGGAUUAGAUACCCCGGUAGUCCACGCCGUAAACGAUGUCUACUAGAAGCUCGGGUCCUCGGACUUGUUUUUCAAAGCUAACGCAUUAAGUAGACCGCCUGGGGAGUACGGCCGCAAGGUUAAAACUCAAAUGAAUUGACGGGGGCCCGCACAAGCGGUGGAGCAUGUGGUUUAAUUCGAUGCAACGCGAAGAACCUUACCUACACUUGACAUACAGAGAACUUACCAGAGAUGGUUUGGUGCCUUCGGGAACUCUGAUACAGGUGCUGCAUGGCUGUCGUCAGCUCGUGUG